UGACACCUCGUCUCGGUUUCGUACAAACACAGUUUGAAGAUGAAUGGCGUUAGUGUACCAAUAAUAACUCCUGAGCCUGCGCGAACCAGUGCAGCGAUAUCCUCAAGUGUAAAUUACAACCAGAACAUGAACAGCGAAAAUCCUCGCGCACAAGGCAAAGUGGUCCGAAACGACAAUCUCGACGAUAACGUUACAAAUAAGGACAACAACGCCCUGUGGACAAAACGAGUUAGACACGAGAGAUCACGCUAUGCUUGUACGAUUCCGAAACCAUAAAACCGAACAAAAAUAAAGGAAGAGACGAUGAGCGACGACGAAUACGAAAUCGAAGAAGAUGAGCAUCAUUCAUUAACAAGAAGAGUCCUUACAAAUUGCUCGACACUGAUGAAACCAUGAUAUCUAGACGAUGAUGUUAUGUUAGCGAUAAAAUUUGUCAACGGAUCGGAAGAUCCAGAAACGUUUAAAACUGCUAUGAACAGCAAAGAAAGCGCUAAAUAGAGGGAAACCGUGAAUGUGGAAAUGUUCUCCCUACAAAAAAAUCAGAUGUGGAAGUUAAUGGAUCUACCAAAGAAUGUAAAUGCGAUACCGUGCAAAUGAAAAAUAUUCGCGUGGAAAGAAAUUCCAAUGACACGAUCGACAAAUACAAGGCAAGGUUAAUCAUUAAAGAAUUCAAUCAGUGUCAAAAUAUAGACUACAACCAAACAUUUAACCCAAUUGCAAAGAUGAGCACAAUAUGUUCAGUUGAUAUAUGAGUAUAGUAAACAGAUAUAUUUGACAUUCAAUGCGUCAACGGUAUUCUUAUAUUCAAAAUUCGACAAGACCAUAUGCAUGGAACAACCACAACGUUAUGGCGACAGUACCAACAAGGUUAGCCUACUCGGUAAAAGUUUGUAUAGGCUGAAAUAGAUCUCAAAAACAAGAACUUUGCAGAAUUGCUCGUGAAACUGGGAUUUCAAACAAGCGAUGUUGAAUCUUGCUUGUACAUCCGAGAUAAGAAUGGCAAGGAACUCAUACUGAUCCUAUAUGUAGAUAACGGAUUGCUAGGAACAACCGAUCCAGAAAAAUUAAUUUUUAUGUAAAACGUAAAAGAUUGUACGGUAACAUAGUAGAUUCAUAAAAGAAAUUAAAUUCAUUGCAUGAUUAUGCAAAAUCCAAAAAUACGUAAGUGCCCGAAUAUUUAUCAAUGGACUAUGUAGUGUACAUCAAAUAUAUUUAAUAAUUUCACAGAGAAAACAUUUUUUAAAUCUGAUGUUACUCUUCUUCGUAAGCAAAUGCAUAGACAAUAUACGAAUGUUAGAUAUUUUUCUAUUGUGGAUAUGAGAAAUUAAAUUAAUAAUAAAUAAAAUUUAGGUUAGUGUGGAAACUAAUGGUUUUUUUCAUUAAGAUAGAAACAAAAAAAAAAA
rnacentral:lncRNA from 1 species